GAAACAGGUUAAUAUUCCUGUACUUGGUGUUACUGCGAAGGGGGGACGGAGAAGGCUAUGUUGGCCGGGCGACGGUUGUCCCGGUUUAAGCGUGUAGGCUGGUUUUCCAGGCAAAUCCGGAAAAUCAAGGCUGAGGCGUGAUGACGAGGCACUGCGGUGCUGAAGCAACAAAUGCCCUGCUUCCAGGAAAAGCCUCUAAGCAUCAGGUAACAUCAAAUCGUACCCCAAACCGACACAGGUGGUCAGGUAGAGAAUACCAAGGCGCUUGAGAGAACUCGGGUGAAGGAACUAGGCAAAAUGGUGCCGUAACUUCGGGAGAAGGCACGCUGAUAUGUAGGUGAAGUCCCUCGCGGAUGGAGCUGAAAUCAGUCGAAGAUACCAGCUGGCUGCAACUGUUUAUUAAAAACACAGCACUGUGCAAACACGAAAGUGGACGUAUACGGUGUGACGCCUGCCCGGUGCCGGAAGGUUAAUUGAUGGGGUUAGCGCAAGCGAAGCUCUUGAUCGAAGCCCCGGUAAACGGCGGCCGUAACUAUAACGGUCCUAAGGUAGCGAAAUUCCUUGUCGGGUAAGUUCCGACCUGCACGAAUGGCGUAAUGAUGGCCAGGCUGUCUCCACCCGAGACUCAGUGAAAUUGAACUCGCUGUGAAGAUGCAGUGUACCCGCGGCAAGACGGAAAGACCCCGUGAACCUUUACUAUAGCUUGACACUGAACAUUGAGCCUUGAUGUGUAGGAUAGGUGGGAGGCUUUGAAGUGUGGACGCCAGUCUGCAUGGAGCCGACCUUGAAAUACCACCCUUUAAUGUUUGAUGUUCUAACGUUGACCCGUAAUCCGGGUUGCGGACAGUGUCUGGUGGGUAGUUUGACUGGGGCGGUCUCCUCCUAAAGAGUAACGGAGGAGCACGAAGGUUGGCUAAUCCUGGUCGGACAUCAGGAGGUUAGUGCAAUGGCAUAAGCCAGCUUGACUGCGAGCGUGACGGCGCGAGCAGGUGCGAAAGCAGGUCAUAGUGAUCCGGUGGUUCUGAAUGGAAGGGCCAUCGCUCAACGGAUAAAAGGUACUCCGGGGAUAACAGGCUGAUACCGCCCAAGAGUUCAUAUCGACGGCGGUGUUUGGCACCUCGAUGUCGGCUCAUCACAUCCUGGGGCUGAAGUAGGUCCCAAGGGUAUGGCUGUUCGCCAUUUAAAGUGGUACGCGAGCUGGGUUUAGAACGUCGUGAGACAGUUCGGUCCCUAUCUGCCGUGGGCGCUGGAGAACUGAGGGGGGCUGCUCCUAGUACGAGAGGACCGGAGUGGACGCAUCACUGGUGUUCGGGUUGUCAUGCCAAUGGCACUGCCCGGUAGCUAAAUGCGGAAGAGAUAAGUGCUGAAAGCAUCUAAGCACGAAACUUGCCCCGAGAUGAGUUCUCCCUGACUCCUUGAGAGUCCUGAAGGAACGUUGAAGACGACGACGUUGAUAGGCCG
rnacentral:rRNA from 1 species